GACGAACGCUGGCGGCGUGCUUAACACAUGCAAGUCGAACGGAAAGGCCCUGCUUUUGUGGGGUGCUCGAGUGGCGAACGGGUGAGUAACACGUGAGUAACCUGCCCUUGACUUUGGGAUAACUUCAGGAAACUGGGGCUAAUACCGGAUAGGAGCUCCUGCUGCAUGGUGGGGGUUGGAAAGUUUCGGCGGUUGGGGAUGGACUCGCGGCUUAUCAGCUUGUUGGUGGGGUAGUGGCUUACCAAGGCUUUGACGGGUAGCCGGCCUGAGAGGGUGACCGGCGAGAGUGGGACUGAGCUGAGGCCGAGCCGACGACGGGCGGCAGCAGUGGGGAAGAGUGCACAAUGGGUGGAAGCCUGAGUCAGCAGGGCCGCGUGAGGGAUGGCGGGCUUCGGGUUGUAAACCGCUAUCACCGGUGACGUAGCGUGAGGGAGGGGAAUGGGUAAAGCAGCACCGGCUAAGUCUGUG
rnacentral:rRNA from 1 species